rnacentral:rRNA from 1 species
AAAAGUAAAAUUAUCAAUCUUAAUCGUACUCAUAACCGCAUCAGGUCUCUAAGGUUAACAGCCUCUGGUUAAAUAGAAUAAUGUAAAAUAAGGGAAGUCGGCAAAAUAGAUCCGUAACUUUGGGAAAAGGAUUGGCUCUAAAAGAUAAAACUUGAAAGACUAUUUUUUGAAGAAAUGAAGUCUAAUUUUAAAGGAAUGUUUGUAAAGAUAGAUUUUUGGAAGGUGAAAUUUGAUUGGAAGGGGAUUGUUAAAAGGAAAGCGUAAUUGUGGACUGAAUUUUUGGGUUAUUUAAUAUCUAAUUUAGAACUGGUACGGACAAGGGGAAUCCGACUGUUUAAUUAAAACAAAGCAUUGUGAUGGUUUUGAAUAAAUGAUGAUACAAUGUGAUUUCUGCUCAGUGCUCAGAAUGUCAAUAUGAAGAGAUUUAACCAAGCGCGGGUAAACAGCGGGAGUAACUAUGACUCUCUUAAGGUAGCCAAAUGCCUCGUCGUCCAAUUAGCGACGCGCAUGAAUGGAUUAAUGAGAUUCCCACUGUCCCUAAUUACUAUCUAGCGAAACCACAGCCAAGGGAACGGCUUGGCAAAAUUAGCGGGGAAAGAAGACCCUGUUGAGCUUGACUUUAUUCAGAAUUUGUGAAAUGGUGCUCGAGGUAUAGAAUAGGUGGGAGUGUAACGAAAUUGAAAUACCACUACUCUUGACGUUGUUUUACUUAUUAAAUAAAAAACUGAUUGAUUAAUAAUCUUGAUUCUAGAAUUAACGAAUAUUACAUGUUGCUUCCAUGUGAGGUAACCUCUGAUUUACGGAAGUUUGUUUAAGACAUUUUCUGGUGGGGAGUUUGGCUGGGGCGGCACAUCUGUUAAAAGAUAACACAGGUGUCCAAAGUAUAACUCAAUGAGAACGGAAAUCUCAUGUAGAAUAAAAGGGUAAAAGUUAUAUUGAUUUUGAUUUUCAGUAAGAAUACAAACCGUGAAAGCGUGGCCUAUCGAUCCUUUAUUAAAUAAAAAUCUUAUGCUAGAGGUGUCAGAAAAGUUACCACAGGGAUAACUGGCUUGUGGCAGCCAAGAGUUCAAAUCGACGUUGCUUUUUGAUCCUUCGAUGUCGGCUCUUCCUAUCAUUGUGAAGCAGAAUUCACCAAGUGUUGGAUUGUUCACCCUUCAAAAGGGAACGUGAGCUGGGUUUAGACCGUCGUGAGACAGGUUAGUUUUACCCUACUAAUGAAGUAGGAUUAUUCUAAUAGUAAUUCAAUUCAGUACGAGAGGAACCAUUGAUUCAGAUAUUUGGUUUAUAAGAUUAUC